rnacentral:lncRNA from 1 species
GCUCUGUGCUCAAGCCCUGCAGAGGGAGAUGGCAGAGAGGAAGGCUGCCUACAGGCAUCACAGUCCCAUCCCUGUUGGUAACCGUGUUGUGCAAAAACACCUUCAUCCCCACCCAGUGGGGCCCCUGAUCUAAUAUUCAAAGUGUCAGAGGUUCCAUAUUUGUAAUAGCAAAUGGGCCCUGACUGUAAAUUAGUGAAGAGUGAAUGUAACUUAUUACCCACAGGGACAAUUCCAAAUGAAGGCCUUAAAUGAUGCUCAGCUAAGCUGGUUCUUGUGUGGCCUCUGUACCUUCAAAAGCUGCCGAGUCC